AUGGUGAAUAACCGUUCUGUGGUUGAACAAGCUCAUGAGAUACAGUGCAUUUUGAAGGAACUUGAACUCCUUAAAUGUGUUCUACCCGACAAAUUCGUGGCUGGGUGCAUGAUUGCAAAAUUGCCUCCUUCAUGGAGGAAUUUCGCCACAACUCUGAAGCAUAAGAGACAGGAGAUAUCAGUUGAAAAUCUGAUUGCAUCUCUUGAUGUUGAAGAAAAAGCUCGGGCUAAAGAUACCACUGAAAAAGGAGGUGAGAUUCAGCCUACUGCUAACAUGGUGCAGAGGUACCCACAGAACAAGAACAAAGGGAAGAACAAACCUGUUUUCAACAAGCCUACCAAGACUACUACCUUCAAGAAGAAGAAGUUCAACAAGGCUGAGCUAGAGUGCUACGCCUGUGGGAAGCCUGGACACUUUUCCAAGGAAUGCCCUGAACGUGCAGACCGCAGAGGGAAAACAAGCUCCAAGACUGUCAACAUGGUGACCGCUAGCAAUACUGAUGGGUAUGGUCGCAAGGGAUUCUUCCGUCCUAAUGGGGAAUGGGUCACAUGCUUCUGUUCGUGGCAUUGGCACGGCUAUGAGUGCGGAGGCUUGUUCCGCUUUUCUCUUUCAGAUUUUUGCAAUAAGUCAAUAAACCAAAUUUGUGCUAGUGUUAAUGAUGAUGCAAGUAUUUGGCACUCUCGUUUAUGUCAUAUUAAUUUUGGUUUAAUGUCUCGGCUAUCCAGCAUAAGUUUAAUUCCGAACUUCACAGUUGCCAAAGGUUCUAAGUGCCAUAGUUGUGUGCAAUCUAAGCAACCUCGAAAGCCUCAUAAGGCUGCCGAGGAGAGAAACUUGGCACCUCUAGAACUCAUACAUUCUGAUCUUUGUGAGAUGAAUGGUGUGUUGACAAAAGGUGGAAAGAGAUAUUUCAUGACUUUGAUUGAUGAUGCGACUAGAUUUUGCUAUGUUUAUUUGUUGCAAACUAAAGAUGAAGCAUUAGACUACUUUAAAAUCUAUAAAGCUGAAGUUGAAAAUCAACUAGAGAGAAAGAUCAAGCGUCUUAGGUCCGAUCGUGGUGGAGAGUAUUUUCCAAAAGUUUUUGAUGAAUUUUGUGAGGAACAUGGUAUUAUUCAUGAGAGGACGCCUCCCUAUUCACCUCAAUCAAAUGGAGUGGCCGAGAGGAAAAACCGCACAUUGACUGACUUAGUGAAUGCCAUGUUAGACACUGCUGGUUUAUCUAAGGCAUGGUGGGGGGAGCUAAAGCCUGAUGAUACUAUUGAUAAGUACAAGGCGCGGCUAGUGGCCAAGGGCUACACUCAGAAAGAAGGCGAAGAUUACUUUGACACCUAUUCACCCGUUGCUAGAAUGACCACCAUUCGAGUGUUACUUUCCUUGGCUGCCUCUUAUGGUCUUAUCAUUCAUCAAAUGGAUGUAAAGACAGCUUUUCUCAAUGGAGAGUUGGAAGAGGAGAUCUAUAUGGAUCAGCCUGACGGGUUUGUGGUAAAGGGUGAAGAGAGAAAGGUGUGCAAGUUGUUAAAAUCUUUGUAUGGUCUGAAACAGGCACCUAAGCAAUGGCAUGAGAAGUUUGAAAGAACUCUGACUUCUGCAGGAUUUGUCAUUAACGAGGCUGAUAGGUGUGUUUACUAUCGCCAUGGUGGGGGCAAUAGUCUCAUAUUAUGUUUGUCUGUGGACGACAUACUGAUCUUUGGUACAAACAUUAAUGCAAUUAAUGAGGUCAAGUCUUUUCUAUCAAAAAGUUUUGACAUGAAAGAUCUGGGAGAAGCCGAUGUAAUUCUAAACAUCAAACUUAUUAAGGAUGAGAGUGGGAUUACAUUAACGCAAUCUCACUAUGUUGAGAAGGUCUUGAACCGAUUCGGUUUUAUGGAUAGCAAGCCUUCUCCAACACCUUAUGAUCCCAGCGUGACACUCAGAAAGAACAAGAAAGAAACGAGAGAUCAAUUAAGAUACUCUCAAAUUGUCGGUUCACUCAUGUACUUAGCUAGCGCUACAAGACCAGCUAUCUCUUUUGCUGUGAGCAAACUGAGUAGGUUCAUGUCCAACCCGGGUGAUGAUCAUUGGCAUGCACUAGAAAGGGUCUUGCGCUAUCUGAGAGGUACUAUGAGUUACGGAAUUACUUAUUCAGGGCAUCCUGCUGUGCUAGAAGGAUAUAGUGAUUCAAAAUGGAUCUCCGAUGUUGAUGUACUUUACGCAACAAGUGGGUAUGUAUUUACUCAUGGUGGUGGCGCAGUGUCAUGGAGGUCUUGCAAGCAAACCAUAUUGACGAGGUCAACUAUGGAAGCAGAAUUAACUGCUUUGGACACAGCUACUGUUGAGGCAGAAUGGCUGCGUGAGCUCUUGAUGGACUUGCCGGUUGUUGAAAAACCUGUACCGGCUAUUCUUAUGAAUUGUGAUAACCAAACGGUUAUCGCUAAAGUGAACAAUUCUAAAGAUAAUGCAAAGUCAUCAAGACACAUGAAAAGACGUUUGAAGUCUGUCAGGAAGUUGAGAAACUCCGGAGUAAUAACUGUUACGUAUAUACAAACAGACAAAAACCUGGCAGAUCCCUUUACAAAGGGACAAUCACGAAAUGUGAUAGAUAUUGCAUCGAGGGAGAUGGGUAUGAGACCCAUAGCAGUCUUGAAAGAACACACCUAUAUGAGUUCUGACUGUAAACGUCGCAGUCUAUGA
rnacentral:rRNA from 1 species